rnacentral:lncRNA from 1 species
GUUUGUUAGGCUCAGUGGAGAAACCACUGCAAGGGCUAGUUCUCCUUGUUGUCUGCUUCUAGUUGGGAACCGGGCAUAAAUCAGUGUCCCACUGUUGUUCAAGAACAGGGACCCAAAUAGUAAAUAUGUCUAAUGCGGGUCCUCCACAUGAGCUAACAUCACUCCAUCUUCAUCAAGAAGACCUGGGUUGCAAAAGAAAUUGUGAUUCAACCAGAGGGAUCAGAGAUACUGAGUUUAAUUCUCCAAACCACAGAUUAGAGACUGGGCCAUGUAAACCCACAGAGGGAAGUAAGCCACCAAGUCAGUUCAAGGGAAGAACCAAGGAGAAUUUCAGAGGAAAGAUUUUCCCCAUUUGGUCGCUUGGGGAAGACACAUGGCUGCACCCUCCCAAGAGUGGCAGAAAGACAGGAAAAUUCUACAAAUUGAAACUCCAUUACUCACAUGUGAAUUGCUAGAAAGAGGAUGCAAUUAAGCAUACCACUCUUGGAGAUCCAACCAUCAUUUGACAUGAGAUAACACAAAACCCACCCCCACCCAGGGCUGGAAAUAAAGAACAAAAAGAAGUAAGGAAAAGAAGAGAG